rnacentral:rRNA from 1 species
UGGGGAAUUUUGGACAAUGGGGGAAACCCUGAUCCAGCCAUCCCGCGUGUGCGAUGAAGGCCUUCGGGUUGUAAAGCACUUUUGGCAGGAAAGAAACGUCGCGGGUUAAUACCCCGCGAAACUGACGGUACCUGCAGAAUAAGCACCGGCUAACUACGUGCCAGCAGCCGCGGUAAUACGUAGGGUGCAAGCGUUAAUCGGAAUUACUGGGCGUAAAGCGUGCGCAGGCGGUUCGGAAAGAAAGAUGUGAAAUCCCAGAGCUUAACUUUGGAACUGCAUUUUUAACUACCGGGCUAGAGUGUGUCAGGGGGAGGUGGAAUUCCGCGUGUAGCAGUGAAAUGCGUAGAUAUGCGGAGGAACACCGAUGGCGAAGGCAGCCUCCUGGGAUAACACUGACGCUCAUGCACGAAAGCGUGGGGAGCAAACAGGAUUAGAUACCCUGGUAGUCCACGCCCUAAACGAUGUCAACUAGCUGUUGGGGCCUUCGGGCCUUGGUAGCGCAGCUAACGCGUGAAGUUGACCGCCUGGGGAGUACGGUCGCAAGAUUAAAACUCAAAUGAAUUGACGGGGUCAUAGCUGUUUCCU